rnacentral:rRNA from 1 species
UACGUAGGGUGCAAGCGUUAAUCGGAAUUACUGGGCGUAAAGCGUGCGCAGGCGGCUUUGCAAGCCAGAUGUGAAAUCCCCGGGCUUAACCUGGGAAUGGCAUUUGGGACUGCAAGGCUGGAGUGCGGCAGAGGAGACUGGAAUUCCUGGUGUAGCAGUGAAAUGCGUAGAUAUCAGGAGGAACACCGAUGGCGAAGGCAGGUCUCUGGGCUGACACUGACGCUCAUGCACGAAAGCGUGGGGAGCAAACAGG